GGCAGUGUGGCCGAGUGGUCUAAGGCGUAUGACUCGAAAUCAUAUAUCUUCGGAUGCGUGUGUUCAAAUCACACCGCUGUCG